rnacentral:rRNA from 1 species
CCUACGGGUGGCAGCAGUGAGGAAUAUUGGUCAAUGGACGCAAGCCUGAACCAGCCAUGCCGCGUGCAGGAUGACGGCCCUAUGAGUUGUAAACUUCUUUUUUACGAGGAUAAACGCAGGUACGUGUUCCUUUAUGAAAGUAUCAUACGAUUCAGGAUCGGCUAAAUCCGUGCCAGCAGCCGCGGUAAUACGGAGGAUCCGAGUGUUAUCGGGAUUUAUUGGGUUUAAAGGGUGCGGAGGUGGUCUGUUAAGAUAGAGGUGAAAUUCGGAGGCUAAACUUUGAAAUUGCAGGUGAUACUGGUAGGCUAGAGAGCAGUUGGGGUAGGCGGAAUGUAUGGUGUAGCGGUGAAAUGCUUAGAGAUCAUAAAGAACACCGAUUGCGAAGGCAGCUUACUAAGCUGCUUCUGACAUUGAGGCACGAAAGCGUGGGGAGCAAACAGGAUUAGAUACCCUGGUAGUC